rnacentral:rRNA from 1 species
CCUACGGGUGGCAGCAGUGAGGAAUAUUGGUCAAUGGGCGCGAGCCUGAACCAGCCAAGUAGCGUGAAGGAUGACUGCCCUACGGGUUGUAAACUUCUUUUAUAAAGGAAUAAAGUUGGGCACGUGUGCCUUUUUGUACGUACUUUAUGAAUAAGGAUCGGCUAAGUCCGUGCCAGCAGCCGCGGUAAUACGGAGGAUCCGGGCGUUAUCCGGAUGUAGUGGGUUUAAAGGGUGCGUAGGUGGGUGGUUAAGCCCGUCGUGAAAGUUUGGGGCUCAACCGUAAAAGUGCAAUUGUGACUGGAUGUCUUGAGUGCAGUUGAGGUAGGCGGAAUUCGUGGUGUAGCGGUGAAAUGCUUAGAUAUCAGGAAGAACACCGAUUGCGAAGGCAGCCUACUGAACGGCCACUGACGUUGAUGCUCGAAAGUGUGGGUAUCAAACAGGAUUAGAUACCCCAGUAGUC